rnacentral:rRNA from 1 species
GAACGCUAGCUACAGGCUUAACACAUGCAAGUCGAGGGGAAACGAUAUUGGAAGCUUGCUUCUGAUAGGCGUCGACCGGCGCACGGGUGAGUAACGCGUAUCCAACCUGCCCAUCACUUGGGGAUAACCUUGUGAAAGUAAGACUAAUACCCAAUGACGUCUCUAGAAGACAUCUGAAAGAGAUUAAAGAUUUAUCGGUGAUGGAUGGGGAUGCGUCUGAUUAGCUUGUUGGCGGGGUAACGGCCCACCAAGGCGACGAUCAGUAGGGGUUCUGAGAGGAAGGUCCCCCACAUUGGAACUGAGACACGGUCCAAACUCCUACGGGAGGCAGCAGUGAGGAAUAUUGGUCAAUGGACGAGAGUCUGAACCAGCCAAGUAGCGUGCAGGAAGACGGCCCUAUGGGUUGUAAACUGCUUUUAUAAGGGAAUAAAGUGAGUCUCGUGAGACUUCUUGCAUGUACCUUAUGAAUAAGGACCGGCUAAUUCCGUG